GACGUAGGUGGCGAACGUUAUCCGGAAUCAUUGGGCGUAAAGGGUGCGUAGAUGGCCUGAUAAGUUAGCAGUGGGAAAUCGAGGCUCAACCUCGUGGAAGCUGGUAAUACUGUUAGGCUCGAGUGCAGGAGAAGUUAACGGAACUCCAUGUGGAGCGGUAAAAUGUGUAGAUAUAUGGAAGAACAUCAAUAACGGCGAAGGCAGUUAACUAUUCUGUUACUGACGUUGAGGCACGAAAGCGUGGGGAGCAAAACGG
rnacentral:rRNA from 1 species